AAAAAGGAAAUGACAUCAUCGAGAGGAUCUGUGGACCCUCAUUACUGUGUCGAGAACAUGGAGGAACCUUGGAGCUCCAGACGGCCUGAUCACUCUGGCUGAUAAGCCACCGCAGAUUGCAGCUGCUAGCAGUAGCUCUGGACUGAUUUGCUGCUUGGUUAAGGGGCAAAGAAAAACACCAGCCCCGGCCUGCAAGAAAUAAACAGAGGCUUGUUGCGGCUGCGUUAUCACUCCCUGUCUGUUUGGAGCACAACCAAAAGCUACAAAUCUGCAGAGCUGCCCAGUGGCGGGCGAGCAUGAAAUAACUCAUCAGGUUACGAGUCAUUUUCAAGGGGUGACUGAGUAAAGGUGGCUGUAUUAAGUGUGAAAGGAAUCAGGGCCAAGAGCGCAAUCACUCUCUGAUUGGACUGAUCUGAUUUUUCCUCCGCAAGUGGGG
ensembl:lncRNA